AAGUCGUAACAAGGUUUCCGUAGGUGAACCUGCGGAAGGAUCAUUAUCGAGUUUUUGAACGGGUUGUCGCUGGUCCUUUUAACGAGGGCAAUGUGCACGCCUGGCUCAAUCCCACUCUUUAACCUCUGUGCACUUCAUGUAAGAAAUGGUGGAAAAGCUAGCUUGACUCUCUUUUAUUUUAAAAAAGUUAGCUGGUUAGUUCAGAAGCCUUUCUUAUGUUUUAUUACAAACGCUUCAGUUAUAGAAUGUUUUACUGUGUAUAACACAAAUAUAUACAACUUUCAGCAACGGAUCUCUUGGCUCUC
rnacentral:misc_RNA from 1 species